GCCCCUCAGCUCGUCUCCGUCGUCUUCUGAGACUUUUCAUACGCAGAGAUCUCGCCCUCGUGAAUCCUUCGCCUCCGAUCGAUACCCUAGUUCUUGAUGCUCCUCUGAGGGAGGAGUGGAAGCGAUCGAGGCAUGGAUCGGAUCGUCGGCGGGAAGUACAAGCUAGGGCGCAAGAUCGGGAGUGGAUCCUUCGGCGAGAUCUUUCUCGCGACACACGUCGACACGUUUGAGAUCGUCGCGGUUAAGAUCGAGAGCACUCGGUCCAAGCAUCCACAGUUACUAUACGAGGCCAAGUUGUAUAACAUUCUUCAGGGCGGAAGUGGUAUCCCUAACAUAAAAUGGUGUGGCGUCGACGGAGAGGAUAAUGUGCUUGUUCUUGAUUUGCUUGGUCCAAGCCUUGAGGAUCUGUUUGUCUAUUGCGGUCGCAAGUUCUCGUUAAAGACAGUUCUGUUGCUUGCAGAUCAGAUGCUUUCAAGAAUAGAGUAUGUGCACUCAAAGGGUUUUCUGCACAGAGACAUAAAACCUGAUAACUUCCUAAUGGGUCUCGGUCGAAAAGCCAAUCAGGUAUACAUCAUUGAUUUUGGGCUUGCAAAAAGAUAUAGGGAUUCUACCACCAACCGUCAUAUUCCAUACAAAGAAAAUAAGAGCUUGACUGGAACUGCUCGUUAUGCAAGUUGCAAUACUCAUCUCGGCAUUGAGCAAAGUCGUCGGGAUGAUUUGGAAUCUCUAGGUUAUGUUUUUCUCUAUUUCCUCAGAGGGAGUCUUCCAUGGCAAGGUCUGAAAGCUGCCACAAAGAAACAGAAGUAUGAUAAGAUUUGUGAGAAGAAGCUUUCAACUCCUAUUGAAGUUUUAUGUAAAUCUCAUCCUGUGGAAUUUGCUUCAUACUUCCAUUACUGCCACUCUUUGACAUUUGAGCAACGACCUGAUUAUGGAUUUCUAAAGCGCCUCUUCCAUGACUUGUUUAAUCGUGAAGGUUAUGAAUCUGAUUAUAUUUUUGACUGGACGAUUUUGAAAUAUCAGAAAGCCCAAAGGACAAAAUCUCAGCUUCGGUUCUCUCCUGUUGCUUGUGGGAUGACUAGCCUCCGAGCGACUCCAAUGGAUGUUGACAAACAUCAAGUUACAAAUGCACAUAAUGUUCCUCGCCCUCAUGAAGUUACAGAGCAUAUUGGACCAAGUAGUUCUGCAUGUCCUACGGUUCAAAUGCAGUUCAAGCUUGCAGCUGAUAAUACUUUGAGUUCUGACAAUCAGCAAAUUGACAAGUUGAGGGUGGGAAUAAGCUCUGAGAAAGCACAAGCACCAAGUGCAUCAUUUGCUUUUCCUGGUGCACCAAAGAAAAAUGUCAUUAGUUCCAAACAAUCAGGUCCAACUGAUACUUCACACCUUGGUUCAUCCAGCAGUUGGAUCUCUAUGAUACACCGCAAUACCUCAACCAAAUGACUGGUGUAGGUUCAAAUGGAGGUUAGGUCCCACAAAAGAGGAAGCCUAUGCUACAAAGGUGGCUUCAAAUCUGUUGUUGCUCGAGUCGCUUCAUGGAUAUCAGGAUACAUAGUGUUUUCAUGUUAAGUUUUCAGGUGCCUGUCUCCUUGCUUUUUAUCGUCUUUACCAUGUUGCAGUACAGCUAUAACUAACAUGAUGCUGUUGUGGUAGAGAGCAACAUAUAUGCUUUUGAAGGUUUCUGACAAAGAUUCUGGAUCAAGCAACCUGAUGAAAAACAUGUCUUCAGUAUGGAAAACAUGAUGAACAAAUUUUCAGAGAGCACAAAAAAGGAAUGUGGGGUGGCGCCAUGCUUCUCACCAACGCCCAGUUCACACCCUCAAAGAAGUGGUGUUGCUUGAUUUCUGUAGCACCUCUGUGGUA